UACAGAGGGUGCAAGCGUUGUUCGGAAUUAUUGGGCGUAAAGCGCGUGUAGGCGGCUUUGCAAGUCGGGUGUGAAAGCCCUCAGCUUAACUGAGGAAGUGCGCCCGAAACUGCAGAGCUUGAGUACCGGAGAGGAUGGCGGAAUUCCCCAAGUAGAGGUGAAAUUCGUAGAUAUGGGGAGGAACACCGGUGGCGAAGGCGGCCAUCUGGACGGAUACUGACGCUGAGACGCGAAAAGCGUGGGUAGCAAACAGG
rnacentral:rRNA from 1 species